rnacentral:rRNA from 1 species
GACGAACGCUGGCGGCGUGCUUAACACAUGCAAGUCGAACGGUAAGGCCCUUCGGGGUACACGAGUGGCGAACGGGUGAGUAACACGUGGGUGAUCUGCCCUGCACUUCGGGAUAAGCCUGGGAAACUGGGUCUAAUACCGGAUAGGACCACUGCCUGCAUGGGUGGUGGUGGAAAGCUUUUGCGGUGUGGGAUGGGCCCGCGGCCUUUCAGCUUGUUGGUGGGGUGAUGGCCUACCAAGGCGACGACGGGUAGCCGGCCUGAGAGGGUGACCGGCCACACUGGGACUGAGGUACGGCCCAGACUCCUACGGGAGGCAGCAGUGGGGAAUAUUGCUCAAUGGGCGCAAGCCUGAUGCAGCGACGCCGCGUGAGGGAUGACGGCCUUCGGGUUGUAAACCUCUUUCAGCACCGACGAAGCGCAAGUGACGGUAGGUGCAGAAGAAGGACCGGCCAACUACGUGCCAGCAGCCGCCGUAA